rnacentral:rRNA from 1 species
AGAUUGAACGCUGGCGGCAGGCUUAACACAUGCAAGUCGAGCGGUAACAUUUCUAGCUUGCUAGAAGAUGACGAGCGGCGGACGGGUGAGUAAUGCUUGGGAAUAUGCCUUAUGGUGGGGGACAACAGUUGGAAACGACUGCUAAUACCGCAUAACGUCUACGGACCAAAGGAGGGGAUCUUCGGACCUUUCGCCAUUUGAUUAGCCCAAGUGAGAUUAGCUAGUUGGUAAGGUAAAGGCUUACCAAGGCGACGAUCUCUAGCUGGUUUGAGAGGAUGAUCAGCCACACUGGGACUGAGACACGGCCCAGACUCCUACGGGAGGCAGCAGUGGGGAAUAUUGCACAAUGGGCGAAAGCCUGAUGCAGCCAUGCCGCGUGUGUGAAGAAGGCCUUCGGGUUGUAAAGCACUUUCAGUUGUGAGGAAAGGGAUGUAGUUAAUAACUGUAUUCUGUGACGUUAACAACAGAAGAAGCACCGGCUAACUUCGUGCCAGCAGCCGCGGUAAUACGAGUGGUGCAAGCGUUAAUCGGAAUUACUGGGCGUAAAGCGUUCGUAGGCGGUCUAUUAAGCAAGAUGUGAAAGCCCAGGGCUCAACCUUGGAACUGCAUUUUGAACUGGUAGACUAGAGUACUGUAGAGGGUGGUGGAAUUUCCAGUGUAGCGGUGAAAUGCGUAGAGAUUGGAAGGAACAUCAGAGGCGAAGGCGGCCACCUGGACAGAUACUGACGCUGAGGAACGAAAGCGUGGGGAGCGAACAGGAUUAGAUACCCUGGUAGUCCACGCCGUAAACGAUGUCAACUAGCCGUUCGUAGACUUGAUCUGUGAGUGGCGCAGCUAACGCACUAAGUUGACCGCCUGGGGAGUACGGCCGCAAGGUUA